GAAAAGCAAUCCCAGUAAGAAACAUUCCGUCUCAUCUGGUAGUUCUACCUCUGCUCCUGCUUGAGUUCCCUCGGAUGGAUUAUGACCUGCAAGGGUGCAUUGACUUCUGGUCUCCUUAAUGAUACAACUUCCUGUGGUCCUGGAUUCGUGCAGAUUGUCUCCUAUCCAGUGGUGAUGUGACCCAACUGCUGCAAGAACCUGCUGCUUUGAAUUCCCCAAGAACUGUGAGCCAAGGUCUUUAUCAAAUGUGACUGAAGUCCCUAGUCAUUCGUACCAGAGACGAUGCAGUUUGAUAAGGUGGAUAAGCUUCAAGCAGCUGGAAGAUGUUAGAUACCGCUGAGGCUUCCCUGAAGACGGGCAAUUCUGCCCAUGAACUGCAGCUCACCACCGGUGCACCUGAAAAAUCUAGCCCACCCUUUCUGAUGGCUAGCCCUGCAGAUCUUCAUACUACUGGUUGAGCCUUGAAAUAGUCAUGGCCUCAGCCAAUGCCUUGAGUAUAUUCUGGUGAAAGGGGGUAAGGCAGAAGACCUGGUUACUCCACAGUCAGAACUGUGGAGUAAAGUACUGCCAAUUGUCUGACAGCCACAAAGCUUUGGGAUAAAUUUGUUAUGCUAC